rnacentral:lncRNA from 1 species
UCCUGGCCACAGCUAAGUGAUGCUAUGGCAAUGUGCUGUAUGUCAGGCUGCCUUCAAAGAUUGUCCAGAAACUGUAUUUAGUUCAAAAUGCAGCCUCCACACUGUUGACUGUUUUGCUGAUACUGAAAGAAUUUCACUGGCUUCUGGUUUGUUUUCAAGCAUGGCUCAAAGUGCUUGUGUGAUUACCCCAGAUGCCUGAUGGGAUAUCUUGGGUGGGGUGGUCCAACACAUGGCCCAAGGGCUGCACAUGGACUAUGAGGCCUUUUUUGGUGGCCCUUGGUAACAUUUGAUGCCCCACGACCACCACAGCCCUUGUGCUGCCUUCCCAAAGCUGGGUUAAGGGAGGUAUUGGGCUUUGUGAAGGAGGUGUGAGGGCUCUGACAGGGUCCUAGAGUCCUCCAUUCUCCUUUCCAAAGCCUAGUUAGUGCUUUCCCAGCUUUGGGAAGAAGGUAGGAAGGCUCUAGGACCUGCCAGAGCCUUGUGUCUCCUUCCCAAAGCCGGUGUCUCACUUUGGGAAGAUAGCAUGAGAGCUUGAGCAGGGGCAUCAAAUUUUGGACUUGCUCCUCCCUACUGCACAACAAGGCAACGUGUGGCCCAUGGGUUCUGUGUUGAAGUACUCCUGCGGCCUACUUGGUAUGAAAAGUUGAACUGCUCUGAUCUUGGGGGUGGCUCAAUACCACAGUAAUAGCAGCUCGGCUGCAAUGUAUACUGCAGAUCAGGAAAGGUACCACCAGUGCCCAAAGCAUGCCAGCAUGUUUUAAUAAAUCAAGAAAACUACUAGGCAUGCGAAGGCUUCCCUCAGAUAGUGGUUUGGGGAGUCAGUUCCCAGCACCCUUAACAAGCUACACAUUCCAGGAUACUUGGGGGGGGGGGAGUCAUGCAUUUCAAAUAUGCAUUAGAGGCAUGGCCUGGGAUUGAACUAGUGGAGGAGAAGACUUCCUGUCACCACCUCCAGUUCUUGCAUGUUUGCAUUCAGGAAGGCAUAUGAGGGAAUUUUGUCCAACUGCAGCAGCACUGCCCUUUCAGGGAUCUGCAGACAACUAAGAAUCCAAAAACAGAAAACAAAAACUCCACCCCAGAACUGCCUCUCCAUUUUGCAAUUCCAUGUUUGUUUUAUGUACAACUUGCAUUCUGGGGGGGGAAAAAUCUGUGCAUGCAUGUUAUUAACGAAUGUGUCAGUUAGGCUGUAGUGCUGGCAGACAUAAGCGGAGGGCUCUCAUUGCCAGCCACUGAUAGGAACAGAUGCAGUGGCAGCAAGUAGAGAAACCAAGCAGUAGGAGAACUGCUCGGAAACAGGGGGCCUCUCUUGUAGAACUUGCACAUGCUGACAUAUCCAAGCUGUCUUUGAGAUUCAGAUCAACAACAUAUCAGGCAAUCCUUCUGGAAGUCGUUUUCAACAUACUGAACAAACACAUGCUAAUGCCUGUUUACCCACCGUAAAGAAGUGAGCAGUUUAUUGCUCUUGCCAAAAGAGCGUUUUCCCCCUCUUCCACGUAGGAAUAAUGAAAAGGAGGCCAUGAUCAACACAAGGUGCUGCUAGUGUGGGCUGGCUGACAUGCCAAUUCUGAGUCUCCCGGAGUCUCUUCUUUCUUACAGCUGUCAACACAUUCCUAUGGUUUUUUUUGAGGCCUUUCAUCUUGGCUCCCAAUACAUUGGGUCAAGCGAUCACUUCACAAGGUGUAUGGCACUGGGAUCAACACUAAAAGUGCUGAAAAUGAAAUACGGAGCCUGUGGCAGCGCUGAAGCCAGGAUGUUAGCACAAAACAUUUUGCCACUGCAUCGGCUGGUAUCUUACUUUCUACUCUUAUAUUGUUCAGAUGGCCUUCACUCAAGUCAUGUACUGCACUGGGUCAGAGAUGAACAGUUUUUUAAAGAUUGCAGGGCUUAUUCCUCUGAUAAUACCUCUGUUUUUAAAUCUGUAUUCAGGUUGCAUUUGAUGCUAUAAACUCCUUUGAUUUCUGUGCUUCUGAAAAAGUCAGACUCUUGGUACCUCUUGAAAUGGAAAGCUGAAGGAUGGAGGCACCCUGUAUGAGUGGCUUCAUUUCAGAUCCUUGCACACAGGUUUGAUUCUCCCUCUCUCACUUCGCACGCGUGGAAGGAAAGCUUCUGGACAGAUAGCUAGGUACAAGAAUAAGUGAGAUCAAGAAAACUAGGCUAAGAAGGCGAAACCCAUGUUCUGCCUCAUGGUCAUGUGCCUUGAAACUCACGCUCCCAUUUCUUCUUUCCAGAGUGACUUUGAGAGGGGACAGUUUGUAGGGCAGAAACAGUCAGAGGGUGGAGGAGGGGUGUUUAGGAAAGAGGGAGCCAUAAGCUCAGAGACAACACACUUGCUUUGCAUGCAAAAGGCCCUUGGUUUCAUCCGUGGCAUCUCUAAUUAAAAGGAUCUACAGUGGUACCUUGGUACUUGAACCGCUUGGCUCGCGAACAAAUCAGCUCCCAAAUGCCACAAACCCGAAGUAAUUGUUCCAGUUUGUGAACGUUUUUCGGAAGCCGAAUGUCCAAUGCUGCUUCUGCUUGAGUGCAGGAAGCUCCUGCAGCCAAUCGGAAGCCACGCCUUGGUUUUCGAACAGUUUCAGGAGUUGAACAGACUCCUGGAACGGAUUAAGUUUGAGAACCAAGGUACCACUGUAGUUGCAAAUGAUAGACCUCUGCCAGAGAUCCUGGAAGGUUGCUAUUAGGGCUCAUCUAUACUUCAUUUUGGAAGGGAUGCGGGUGGCACUGUGGUUUAAACCACAGAGCCUAAGGCUUGCUGAUCAGAAGGUCGGCGGUUCAAAUCCCCACGACGGGGUGAGCUCCCAUUGCUCGGUCCCUGCUCCUGCCAGCCUAGCAGUUCGAAAGCAUGUCAAAGUACAAGUAGAUAAAUAGGUACAGUUCUGGUGGGAAGGUAAACAGCUUUUCCAUACACUGCUCUGGUUCGCCAGAAGCGGCUUAGUCAUGCUGGCCACAUGACCUGGAAGCUGUAUGCCGGCUCCCUUGGCCAAUAAAGAGAGAUUAGCGCCGCAACCCCAGAGUCGGCCACGACUGGACCUAACGUUCUGGUGUCCCUUUACCUAUACUUCCUUUUGUGACAUGCUUUCAAGGCACAGGUCUAGGAUUUCCAGGUCCCUGUCCGAGCAUUUGUUUAAUUUUUUUGUCCGGGAACUUUCCCUGGAAAAAGCUGCAUUUUACUGCUGAAUUGAUGCAAACAAUCGUCUGUGCAAAACCCAGUUGCGGUUUGCUCUGAUUCAGCAGUAAAAUGUGGGUUUUUCUGGGGAACGUGAUGGGACAUAAAACAACAACAGCAACCAAAACACUUGGGCAUGGACCUGGAAAUCCCAGGUCAGUGCCCAGAAACAUGGCACAAAAAGUAAUGUAGAUGAACCCUUAGUCAAAGUAGACAAUACUGGACUAAAUAGACCAGGCAUAAGGUAGCUUUCUAUGUUUCUCUCCCUGCUGCUUUCCCCCAGUAGUUCCUCCCCUAGCCACUGUCUUCCUGCCAGUCUCCCAUACCUAUAUUUGCAAACAAAAAGCAUACCCAGCACCAUUCUUUCAUUGAUAUUUCAAUAAUGCAAUGGGGGCAGAUAAGAAUUUCAGUAAGAUCAAAAGUUGAAAAAGAACUGGCAUAAAGCAUUUGUUGUGAUUGGUUUCUAAACAGAAUACCUGUAGCAGUGUUCAGACAAGUACCUUUUGUGUUUGAGAUGAAAGGAUUUGUUGCUUUGGCAUUUAUAACUAGCAUAGGCCCUCUGAAAUCAGGUUCUUUUGGCUAUUUCAGAUUAAUAUUCUUAAUAAUUGUAAUCUCCCCUCAUGCCCAAUCUGAAGUGUGGUUUGCAGAAAGUUUGACAGCUGGAUGGAUUUCUUAGACAAGGAAGCUCUCUUGCUUCACCAAAAUCCAUUUUGUAAAAGGCAAAUGGUUCAUAAGUGCCCCACGAUGCAUAGAUUCUUCUAUGUGAAGGCGCCAAUUUUCCUCUCUUAUUUUCUUGUCAGAAAGCAAAUGCCUUCCUAGCAGGAUGUUAAUGGCUGCUGAUUAUAGGUCCUAACUGAUGGAAUGGUGAAGGUCAAGUUAAUUUUCCUCAACAGACAAGGUAUGGUGUGGGUUUCCUGGGCAACCAGUGCUAUCCCACCAUGCUGUCCAGAACACAUGUUGAAAUAUAAAUAAAUUAAAAUAUCACGAAAAAUACCAAAAAAAUGUCAAAGCCUAUAUAGAAUCAAAAGGCAUGUGUGCAUAUGGGGCUAAACUGAUUCAGGGAAUCUCAAACAUUGCCAUAAAGAGUCUGAGAAAUGUUUUCGAGCCUUCCCAAGGCAAUGCUGACAAAGUGCGAAGUACCUGGCUGUCAGGUGAAGAAGGCGGAAGAGUCAUUUCCCCUUGUGUCAAACUGUGACAAGUGGACCUGACUUAAGGUCCUCAUUUGAAAGAUCCAGGGAAGUUCUUAAAACUGACAAAAAAAGUUUUCUCCAUCACCCUAUCCCUAAAACAUCACGAGAGAAAUGGCACUGAGUGAAGGAGCAGAGCAGGAACAAGCUGUUCCUCCCUCUCUCCCCGCUUGCAUUCUUGUGCCAGGUUGUUCCAUGUACAAUUUGCCUAGUAGAAUUCCCUCCAGCAAGGUGUCUUAUGGUUCCUGCCCUGGCUGAUGAAAUGUCUGAAUGUUAUGCUGCCUCUUGAAUUCACCUGCAUGGUGGUAACAGCUGCUGAACAUUUUAACUAGGGAUGAGCAGAGCAGUGUAUUUCUAGGCCAUGUCAUUUUUCACAUGGGUCCUUAUUUACAUCCUAUCCUAUCUCUGCACCAAUCCGUGAAGAAUAAAGGAUAACAGCAUUCUGAUCCAAGGAUUAGUCCAGGAAGUGUGGAUUGAGUCAGUCUGAUUAAAAAUGCAGACCACAUUAAAUCCUUGAGGAGCCCAAAAUUCAGUUCCUGUAUAAUUUGCUUUUAACUUGAGCAAGGUAUCUGAUUAUAGGUGUGUGAAUUCUGCACUAGAAAAUUCAGGUUUUGCCAUUUACUUCCACUUCAUUUUCCAUUUGUCUUGGCUCCCCUGAUGGAAACCUACUUUCCUCUGCCCAAAUAUAGACCAGCUUUUAAGCUUCCAAACAUUAUGGACACUUCUGAAGAUUUUGCCUUUUGGUGCCCUGUGUGUGCAGCUGGAUCGGUAUGGGUCCAGGGCAGCGGGUAACGUUAAAAGAAAGCAGAUGUCUCCAGCAUUGACUUGACAGGAAGAACACCAUAGUUUUUAUAGUAGUUGUGAAUAUUUCCCAUACCUGUAUAGCAGGCUAGAAGCUUCUGCCUUUUUUGCGUUAAACUUUUUUUUCUUUCUAAAAAAAGUUAUGAGGUAAACUAAGAGCUGCAGUGGAUUUUUAGACCUACUUAAUUCUGUUGCAAUACUUUUUAAAGAAUGUACUCAGGAGAGUCAUAAUUCCACUUACCCUUGGCAUAGGUGAUGGAGGGAAUGGGUUAAUGGGGCAGAGGGGAACAGUUAUGUGUAAUGUGAUAAGCAUGCUUGUUUUGUGUCUACCUAGCACACAGGAGCAUCCCUUAUGCCAAGGUGUCUCUCGAGAGUGUUUGCACUGUGUGCCCCGGUGCCAGUAAUUGCUACAGUGCUCUUUUCCUAAUAGCUCAGGAUUGAUUUUUAUUGCAUUGCCCCUUUAGGAAUACUGGAUUUCUUUCCCCAAAAGUGCAUCUUUGUAUUAGGGAUUUUAUUGAAAAUGAUCUCAUCUUGCCGAUUCUCUGGCUUGUUGCAGGUAGAAGAGAUUAUUCUGCUUAGUCCCACACUUCGUUAUUCAUUCACAAGCUUGGCACCAGUAUCCAUCUGUAGUAAUUUCCAUUCUUCAACCACAUGCUUUGUGUUGCAUUAUUGAUUUUUUUUUACUAGGUCUGCCACUAUUCCUCAGUUUUUAUCUCUUGAAUGAGAAGAGCUCCAAAAGUUGCAGGAUACCUUUCUAGCAGGGAUAGAUGAAGUAAGUGGCAUAAGUGGCCAGCCAACUCCCCAGCCACCACUGUAUGAGUUCCAGUGGGGCAGUGGAGCAGGACCAGGGUUGGGAGCACGGCUCCGGUACUUUUUUGGCAGCAGGAACAAUAAUGUCAUCUGCUGGAGCAGGAACAAUAAUGUCAUCUGCUGGAGCACCAGAAAAUCUCACAACUCCUUGCGGAGGAUUCUCCAAUUAGGCAUGCCUACAAGGGCUUGAGCACACCUCUAGGGGCAGAGUUGAUUUUAUUUAAAUCAAUCAAUCAAUCAAUUAAUUAAUUAAAGUCUGCCCUUCACUCAAAGGUCCCGGGGCAGAGAUACAAAAAAUAAAAAACCAACAUUGAUUUAAUAAUAUCAACUGCAACAAUAUACU